GGGGCAAAAACCGCCCAGCCUCGCGGGACUAGGCCUGGGCAGCCUUCUGGCGGCGCACGGCGCAUCGGGGUUUACAGCAGUAUAACUUGCUUCCCAGUAGCGCAUCACAGGAGAGACCCUUCCUUUAGGAAACCAAGCCUCGCCAAGGGUCGUCAUCUCUAUGGCCUCCUCCCUUCCCGGUGACUUGGUCGGAGCUGACAGAGACGGGAGGGGGGUUGCAAAGCGGGCGUGCGAAAGGGCCGCGACUGCCCCCAGCGGUGUGGGGUGGAACUACACUUAGGGCCCCAGACUGUGAGCCUGAGGAUCCGUGUGCGCAGUCGUCUCAGAGUUUUCAGAGUACAAGUCUCUUCCUCCUUAGGUUUCUCACAUUGAUGCUUUCAACAUGGGAAGAAAAGUUACUGAAAGAUGGAAAAGGUGAGGACCCUAACAGCUGCGUCCUCAUCUUAGAAAGACAUCAACAGCAAGUCCCCUUGAAGCCAAGGAUAUGCCAAGAUGAGGAAUGGCUAAACACAGGAGACUUCUAUCAAGGGUCAGGAGAAGGGCCCUGCACAUGGAGCACUCGGGAGCAUUGUCACCAGGAUGACCCAAGAAUCUUCAGUUUUCAGAAGUCAAAGAAUGGACAUGUUGCCACCAGAGCCCUUUACCAAGUGAGAAGUCCUUCAAUGAAGAGAACCUGGCUUCCAGCAGCUGGAGCAGCUUAUAUUGAGUGAUUCAAGACUAGCCAGUCAGCUUUCGAGGUUAAAAUUCCCCUAACUCCUUAAAUUUCACCCAGAACCCUGGCUGCAGGAGACAGGUUUGCAAGUCUUGCUGCCUGUCUUUUUGUCAGUCGACCUCACAAUCUACUCUUUCUUUUCUCAAAAGCUAAUGCUCUGUUUCUCAUCUUCUUUGCCUUUUGAGUAGCCUAGUUUCUUACUCAGUAAUAAUUAUUGCAAAACAGGGAAGGGAAAGGAGAGGGAAAAAGAAGGAGGGGGAAGGGAGGGGGCCUGGGGCCUGAAAUUUUCCAAGCUGUCUCUCUGUGGCUCUGUUGUGUGAGAGAAACCUUAGUCUAAAGAACACUCAUUGCCACCUCCCAAAGGAAAAGGGGGUCAGAAUGCUGUCUGCUCUAAACCUAACUGAAGUUCAUGGUGGGGUGGGGGUGUGGGAUGGUCUAUCCAGGGGCAAAGGAAGCCUGGCAUGCUGGGCUAUCUUGGAUAAGUUCUCUAGACUGUGGCCUUUUCAGGGCCAGGCAGCUUCAGGGUGGUCCUCAGAGCUGGACCUGGCUGGAUGUCUAUCCGUCCAGGCAGACCAGCUACAGGUUCAGUGAAAGUGGUCUUGAGCUAUUUUCUAGUCAGGGAAAUGUGAGCUCCUGAGGUAAUUACUGAACCAUGAGCAAGAGCCUUAGACAUUUAGGGGAACAGGUGGUUCCAAGUAACUACAGGGACCUUGUUAACAGACUCUAAGCAACUAUGCUGCUGUCUAGAGAAGGAAGUUAUACUGGUCUCAAACUGUUGAAAAGCCCAAGAGCCAAAGUGGGU
rnacentral:lncRNA from 1 species